AGAGAGAGAGACAUAUGCAUACAGUAAAAAAGAAGGUAGAUGAUAGUAUUUGCCGAUGCUAGAAGAGAGCAUCGGCAGAUUGCACAACUAGUUCAAUACUUUGCAUUUGCUUUUAAAAUGUGUCAAAAAAUAAUAACACUUACAAGUGUCACCAGGGUUUAACUUGUUCUAAGACGACGCUUUAAAACGUUGUUAUCUUAUAACACUUCGAAGCAUUGUUAUCUUACAACACUUGUUCGCAUCAUCGGAUGCCAAUCAAUAUCACAUCCUCGCCC
rnacentral:lncRNA from 1 species